rnacentral:rRNA from 1 species
UACGUAGGGAGCGAGCGUUGUCCGGAAUCAUUGGGCGUAAAGCGCGUGUAGGCGGCCUAAAAAGUCUGGUGUGAAAUCUUUCGGCUCAACCGGAAGCGGUCACUGGAUACUAUUAGGCUUGAGUCCGGAAGAGGAGAGUGGAAUUCCUGGUGUAGCGGUGAAAUGCGUAGAUAUCGGAAGGAACAUCAGUGGCGAAGGCGACUUCCUGGACCAAUACUGACGCUCAGGUGCGAAAGCGUGGGGAGCAAACAGG